rnacentral:rRNA from 1 species
UACGGGGGGAGCAAGCGUUGUUCGGAUUUACUGGGCGUAAAGGGCGCGUAGGCGGUCAGCACAAGUCAGUUGUGAAAUCUCCGGGCUUAACUCGGAAAGGUCAACUGAUACUGUGCGACUAGAGUGCAGAAGGGGCAACUGGAAUUCUCGGUGUAGCGGUGAAAUGUGUAGAUAUCGAGAGGAACACCUGCGGCGAAGGCGGGUUGCUGGGCUGACACUGACGCUGAUGCGCGAAAGCCAGGGGAGCGAACAGG